rnacentral:lncRNA from 1 species
CCCUGCUUCAGUGAGCAAACUUGCCUACCCUGUAGACUCCUACGUAAGGAGGCUGCCGUCUCUAGUCAAGCACUAAGACUUCGGAGUAUGAGUAAGAACUCCACUGAGCCUGCUGGUGUAAUUAAAGGUUUUUCUCCACCUUUUUGAGUGACCUUUGGGUUCUCGAGUCUUCAAACUGAGGUAGCUGGGAUGCUGAGCUGUAACACUCAGCUGUGCCUCAGAGCUGUAACGCUUGGGUAUAGCACCGAGCUUUUCUGCUUUGCCUCAAGUCAGUCUGGACAAGAGUCAAGGGCAUGAUCAUGAUGGAUGACAUAAAGGAGUGGACAGACAGCUCUGUAAGAAUCUGCAGGAGGGUGGUUCUUGUG